rnacentral:tRNA from 1 species
GGGCCUGUGGUAUAAUCCGGUAGAAUGCGACGCUGGCAGCGUUGAGAUUCGAGUUCAAAUCUCGACAGGUCCA